CAUGACAAUAGGAUUUAAAUCACUGCCUUUUUUGAAUUUAUCCAUUUAAAUGUCUUAAAAGUGAUCAGUCAUGAUUCAGAAAGAACAGUUAGGUUUCAGCAACGCAACAGCACCUCAUAGUGGAGAAAGAUGUACAAUACAUCCAUUGAUGAUACAUAAGUACAGCAACUAUCAUAUCGCUUCUGCCCAAAAUCAAUUGAAGGGACAAUUACCACCAAAGCACCAUAAUCAC